UAAAUCAAAACUUUCAACAACGGAUCUCUUGGUUCUGGCAUCGAUCAAGAAGAACGCAGCAA
rnacentral:rRNA from 1 species